CAUGCAAGUCGAACGGCAGCAUGUAUCUAGCUUGCUAGAUUGAUGGCGAGUGGCGAACGGGUGAGUAAUACAUCGGAACGUGCCCUGUAGUGGGGGAUAACUAGUCGAAAGAUUAGCUAAUACCGCAUACACCUGAGGGUGAAAGUGGGGGACCGCAAGGCCUCAUGCUAUAGGAGCGGCCGAUGUCUGAUUAGCUAGUUGGUGAGGUAAAGGCUCACCAAGGCGACGAUCAGUAUCUGGUCUGAGAGGACGAUCAGCCACACUGGGACUGAGACACGGCCCAGACUCCUACGGGAGGCAGCAGUGGGGAAUUUUGGACAAUGGGCGAAAGCCUGAUCCACCAAUGCCGCGUGUGUGAAGAAGGCCUUCGGGUUGUAAAGCACUUUUGUCCGGAAAGAAAUGGCUCUGGUUAAUACCUGGGGUCGAUGACGGUACCGGAAGAAUAAGGACCGGCUAACUACGUGCCAGCAGCCGCGGUAAUACGUAGGGUCCAAGCGUUAAUCGGAAUUACUGGGCGUAAAGCGUGCGCAUGCGGUUGUGCAAGACCGAUGUGAAAUCCCCGAGCUUAACUUGGGAAUUGCAUUGGUGACUGCACGGCUAGAGUGUGUCACAGGGGGGUAGAAUUCCACGUGUAGCAGUGAAAUGCGUACAGAUGUGGAGGAAUACCGAUGGCGAAGGCAGCCCCCUGGGAUAACACUGACGCUCAUGCACG
rnacentral:rRNA from 1 species